CAGCUACUCAGGAGGCUGAGAUAUGAGAAUCGCUUGAACCCAGGAGGACCUUGUCUCAAAAACAAACAAAAAAAAGAUUUGUAAAAUGAGAUGACAGAAAAUAAUAGCUUUAGGGAACACUCACCCUGGGCUAAGAACCGUGAACAACCCUAUGAGGAGGAAGUGAAAUUGAGCAAGACCUCACACAGCUGGGAAGCGGAAAGUCAGUGCCUUGAUGAUCAU
rnacentral:lncRNA from 10 species